rnacentral:tRNA from 1 species
GCGGAAUUGAGUAAUUGGGAACUCGUCAGGCUCAUAACCUGAAAGUUGCAGGUUCAAGUCCUGCUUCCGCUC